ACUCAAAGGAAUUGACGGGGGCCCGCACAAGCAGCGGAGCGUGUGGUUUAAUUCGAUGCAACACGAAGAACCUUACCAAGGCUUGACAUACUAGAAGUAGGAAACCGAAAGGCGGACGACCUGUUAAGUCAGGAGCUAGCACAGGUGCUGCAUGGCUGUCGUCAGCUCGUGCCGUGAGGUGUUGGGUUAAGUCCCGCAACGAGCGCAACCCUCGUUGCCAGUUGUUUUCUCUGGCGAGACUGCCCCGUAGAACGGGGAGGAAGGUGGGGAUGACGUCAAGUCAGCAUGGCCUUUAUGCCUUGGGCUACACACACGCCACAAUGGUCGGUACAAUUAGUAGCAAGGGAGCGAUCCGGAGCUAAUCUGUAAAACCGAUCUCAGUUCGGAUUGCAGGCUGAAACCUGCCUGCAUGAAGCUGGAGUUGCUAGUAACCGCAUAUCAGCAUGGUGCGGUGAAUACGUUCUCGGGCCUUGUACACACCGCCCGU
rnacentral:rRNA from 1 species